AGAUUGAACGCUGGCGGCGUGCCUAACACAUGCAAGUCGAGCGGUAACAGGUGUAGCAAUACAUGCUGACGAGCGGCGAACGGGUGAGUAAUGCUUCGGAAUCUGCCCAUGUAGUGGGGAAUAACUAGCCGAAAGGUUAGCUAAUACCGCAUACGACCUACGGGUGAAAGCAGGGGAUCGCAAGACCUUGCGCUAUUGGAUGAGCCGAAGUCGGAUUAGCUUGUUGGUGAGGUAACGGCUCACCAAGGCGACAAUCCGUAGCUGGUCUGAGAGGACGACCAGCCACACUGGGACUGAGACACGGCCCAGACUCCUACGGGAGGCAGCAGUGGGGAAUAUUGGACAAUGGGGGCAACCCUGAUCCAGCGACGCCGCGUGUGUGAAGAAGGCCUGCGGUUGUAAAGCUACGUUUUUAGUGGGAAUAGAAAAGCGUACGGGUUAACACCGUCCGGUCUUGACCCUAACCAAAGAAAAGCACCGGACUAACUCUAGUCGCCAGCAGCCGCGGUAACG
rnacentral:rRNA from 1 species